CCCGUUGUGCGACCAGCGGUAGCCUAGGAAAGCAUCUUUCGUUGGUGACGACGCUGGAUGAAGCCUUUCCGACAACGUAGUCCAACUGUAUGCGCCGCCGCGAGGUGACGCGUAGAGGCUCUGAGCAGCGACGGGGCUGAGACG
rnacentral:ncRNA from 1 species